rnacentral:rRNA from 1 species
AUGUUAGGACGUGUGAUCGACGACUUGAGUGAUCCUAUUGAUGGGAAUUGGGCUCUAAGAAAUCACGAAUGAGGACGUGUUAAACUGAAAGCUCCAAGGAUUAUUGAACGUAAAUCUGUGCAUGCGCCCAUGCAAACAAGUAGUUAA